GAUGAAGAACGUAGCGAAAUGCGAUAAGUAAUGUGAAUUGCAGAAUUCAGUGAAUCAUCGAAUCUUUGAACGCACAUUGCGCCCGCCAGUAUUCUGGCGGGCAUGCCUGUCCGAGCGUCAUUUCAACCAUCAAGCCCCGGGCUUGUGUUGGGGACCUGCGUCCGACGCAGGCCCUGAAAACCAGUGGCGGGCUCGCUGUCCACACCGAGCGUAGUAACUAACCUCGCUAUGGAGUGGCGCGGGCGCCUGCCGUAAAACCCCCAAUUUUUACAAGGUUGACCUCGGAUCAGAUAGGAAUACCCGCUGAACUUAAGCAUAUCAAUAAGCGGAGGA
rnacentral:misc_RNA from 1 species